CUCAGGCUGGAGGGCAGUGGUGCAAUCUUAGCUCACCGCAGCCUGAACUUUUGGGCUCAAGUCAUCCUCAGCUUCCUGAGUAGCUGGGAUUACAGGCAUGAGCCACCAUGCCUGACUAGUCCUAUUCUUGAAGUGUGUGUGUGUGUGUGUGUGUGUGUGUGUGUGUUUGUGUUCUUUGUCCUUCUCAAACUGCAGAGUUUGAUCGCUGUUCUCUUCCUUGCAGGAAGCUCCAAGACAUGUCCAGCCUGCUCUUUGCUGCGAAACUGCACUGAAAUAACUUUCCUUCUGCCCAGGACUCCUGCUUGUUUAGCCAGAUGCAGCUGGAAAAUGGGACUCUCAUUGAGAAGGGGUCAUGUGUGGCCCCUGGAGAAUGCCAAGAAGGUGUCUAUGCCCUGACCUACGGCCCCCAUGCAAGUCUCUGGGUCAGCACAGCCUGUUGUGAAAACAACUGCAGUAACCUUCCCCAGCAAGGGGGUCCCCAAAUUCUGAAGGGCUGUGCUACACCAGAGGUCUGCAACUUACAUAAGAAUGCCACCCUGGGUCCAGAAGACUCUGGAUUUCAUCUCACUGCUAAGCCUGAAUGCAACUACCUUACUCCUCCUACACAGCCAGGUCCUCAUGCAACUGUGACACACGCCAAAGCUGAGACCACCAUCUGCUUCACCUGCUCAGACCUCCACAGCUGUGGCCCACUUCCAUGCCCAGAGGAUAAUAACUACUGCCUUCAGAUGGCGGGCAUCACAGCAGCUCAUCUGGCCUCACACACUCUGAGUGAGAUCUUGUGUCCUACAUGUCCUGGGAGCUCCUUGGAGCCCUGCAAUUCCUCCUUCUACAUGCGGUGUCCCAGUGGGGAAACUGAGUGUGUUCAGCUGGACCUGACGUCUGAAGAAGGUAAUGGGGACAGCAUGUGUGUGUGUGCGUGUGUGUGUGUGUGUAUGUGUGUGUGAAGAAGGUAAUAGGGACAACACGCCUGUCUGUGUGUGUGUAUGUGCGUGUGAAGAAGGUAAUGGGGACAGCAUGUGUGUGUAUGUAUGUGUGUGCACAUGUGUGUAUGCAUGAGUGAGCCUGAGCACACUGGAUUUGGACACUGGUGUGCUUGAGUUUGGAGUUUCCCCUCCAUGCUUUACUCUGUGUAGCUCAAGGCAAGGGACUUUAUCUCUUUGAGCCUCAGUUUUCUCUUCUGGUAAUUGGGGAUGGUAGACACACACCUUGAAGGGCAUUGUGAGGACAAAGUGAACUUAUGAAGGAGGUGACAGAGUAAAGGGCAUGAGAACAGGACUCUAGGGCCAGGCUGCCUGGGUUCAAAUCCUGAAUCCACCACCUAUGAGCUGGGUGACCUUGACCAGGUGACUUUGCCUCUCUGUGCCUCAAUUUCUCC
rnacentral:lncRNA from 10 species